CACGAACGCUGGCGGCAGGCCUAACACAUGCAAGUCGAGCGAGACCUUCGGGUCUAGCGGCGGACGGGUGAGUAACGCGUGGGAACGUGCCCUUUUCUACGGAAUAGCCUCGGGAAACUGAGCGUAAUACCGUAUACGCCCUUUGGGGGAAAGAUUUAUCGGAGAAGGAUCGGCCCGCGUUGGAUUAGGUAGUUGGUGGGGUAAUGGCCUACCAAGCCUACGAUCCAUAGCUGGUUUGAGAGGAUGAUCAGCCACACUGGGACUGAGACACGGCCCAGACCUCGACGGAAGGCAGCAGUGGGGAAUCCUAGACAAUGGGGGCAACCCUGAUCCAGCCCUGCCGCGUGAGUUAUGAAGGCCUUAAGGUUGUAAAGCUCUUUCAACCUGGAAGAUAAUGACGGUACCAGCAGAAAAAGCCCCGGCUAACUCCGU
rnacentral:rRNA from 1 species